UGGGGCGUGGAGGACAACUAACUAGGCUGACCUGUAAAAGCAGAGGAAAUUGGAACUUGGAAAGUUCUGAAGAAGGACUGCUUAGCGUGCCUCUUUAGUCAACAUGAAAAAGAAGAAAAGAACAAGCAACUGAAGGAUCCUCUGAUGGCCUCGAGGCAGUGGAUUGAGAAUAUCUCUUAAGUACAAGGAAGUAUUCUAGACCCUGCAACUGAUGGAUCAGCUGGCACCACCAAGGUCGAUGAACUGGCUCAUCUGAUCUUGUGGCCCCCACCUAGGAACUAAGCACAAGAAGCAUCUCUGACUUGACCAAUCAGCAUGCCUGUCUCAUUGGCUUCCCCCCACCCACCAAGUUGUCCUUAAAAACCCUGAUCCCCCGAACCCAUGGGGAGACUGAUUUGAAUGAUAAUAAGAGUCCAGUUUCCUGCACAGCUGGCUCUGCAUGAAUUAUUCUUUCUCUAUUGCAAUUCCCCUGUCUUGAUAAAUUGGCUCUGUCUAGGCAGUGGGCAAGGUGAACACAUUGGGCCAUUACACUUGUGAUAAGAUAAAAAAAAAUCAUGUCUUUAUGCU